UACGUAGGGUGCGAGCGUUAAUCGGAAUUACUGGGCGUAAAGCGUGCGCAGGCGGUUCGUUAAGUCAGCUGUGAAAGCCCCGAGCUUAACUUGGGAAUUGCGGUUGAAACUGGCGGACUAGAAUCUGGCAGAGGGGGGUGGAAUUCCACGUGUAGCAGUGAAAUGCGUAGAGAUGUGGAGGAACACCGAUGGCGAGGCAGCCCCCUGGGCUGAGAUUGACGCUCAGGCACGAAAGCGUGGGGGAGCAAACAGGGAUUAGAUACCGUGU
rnacentral:rRNA from 1 species